rnacentral:rRNA from 1 species
AUGGGAACGCGAAGAACCUUACCUAGACUUGACAUCUCCUGAAUUACUCGUAACUGAGGAAAUCCCUUCGGGGACAGGAAGACAGGUGGUGCAUGGUUGUCGUCAGCUCGUGUCGUGAGAUGUUGGGUUAAGUCCCGCAACGAGCGCAACCCUUAUCAUUAGUUGCUAACAUUUAGUUGAGCACUCUAGUGAGACUGCCUGGGUUAACCAGGAGGAAGGUGGGGAUGACGUCAAAUCAUCAUGCCCCUUAUGUCUAGGGCCACACACGUGCUACAAUGGUGGGGACAAAAAGAUGCAAAACCGCAAGGUUGAGCCAAACUCAAAACCCCAUCCCAGUUCGGAUUGUAGGCUGAAACUCGCCUACAUGAAGCCGGAGUUGCUAGUAAUCGCGAAUCAGAAUGUCGCGGUGAAUACGUUCCCGGGUCUUGUACACACCG